GAUCAUGGCUCAGGAUGAACGCUAGCUACAGGCUUAACACAUGCAAGUCGAGGGGCAGCAUGAACUUAGCUUGCUAAGUUUGAUGGCGACCGGCGCACGGGUGAGUAACACGUAUCCAACCUUCCCGUUACGUCUGGAAUAGCCUUUCGAAAGAAAGAUUAAUACCGGAUAGUAUCGAGGAGAUUGCAUGAUUACCCGAUUAAAGAUUCAUCGGUAACGGAUGGGGAUGCGUUCCAUUAGG
rnacentral:rRNA from 1 species